GGGUUGUGAGGUUAAGCGACUAAGCGUACACGGUGGAUGCCCUGGCAGUCAGAGGCGAUGAAGGACGUGCUAAUCUGCGAUAAGCGUCGGUGAGGUGAUAUGAACCGUUAUAACCGGCGAUUUCCGAAUGGGGAAACCCAGUGUGUUUCGACACACUAUCAUUAACUGAAUCCAUAGGUUAAUGAGGCGAACCGGGGGAACUGAAACAUCUAAGUACCCCGAGGAAAAGAAAUCAACCGAGAUUCCCCCAGUAGCGGCGAGCGAACGGGGAGGAGCCCAGAGCCUGAAUCAGUGUGUGUGUUAGUGGAAGCGUCUGGAAAGGCGUGCGAUACAGGGUGACAGCCCCGUACACAAAAAUGCACAUAUUGUGAGCUCGAUGAGUAGGGCGGGACACGUGGUAUCCUGUCUGAAUAUGGGGGGACCAUCCUCCAAGGCUAAAUACUCCUGACUGACCGAUAGUGAACCAGUACCGUGAGGGAAAGGCGAAAAGAACCCCGGCGAGGGGAGUGAAAAAGAACCUGAAACCGUGUACGUACAAGCAGUGGGAGCCUCUUUAUGGGGUGACUGCGUACCUUUUGUAUAAUGGGUCAGCGACUUAUAUUCUGUAGCAAGGUUAACCGAAUAGGGGAGCCGAAGGGAAACCGAGUCUUAACUGGGCGUUAAGUUGCAGGGUAUAGACCCGAAACCCGGUGAUCUAGCCAUGGGCAGGUUGAAGGUUGGGUAACACUAACUGGAGGACCGAACCGACUAAUGUUGAAAAAUUAGCGGAUGACUUGUGGCUGGGGGUGAAAGGCCAAUCAAACCGGGAGAUAGCUGGUUCUCCCCGAAAGCUAUUUAGGUAGCGCCUCGUGAAUUCAUCUCCGGGGGUAGAGCACUGUUUCGGCAAGGGGGUCAUCCCGACUUACCAACCCGAUGCAAACUGCGAAUACCGGAGAAUGUUAUCACGGGAGACACACGGCGGGUGCUAACGUCCGUCGUGAAGAGGGAAACAACCCAGACCGCCAGCUAAGGUCCCAAAGUCAUGGUUAAGUGGGAAACGAUGUGGGAAGGCCCAGACAGCCAGGAUGUUGGCUUAGAAGCAGCCAUCAUUUAAAGAAAGCGUAAUAGCUCACUGGUCGAGUCGGCCUGCGCGGAAGAUGUAACGGGGCUAAACCAUGCACCGAAGCUGCGGCAGCGACACUAUGUGUUGUUGGGUAGGGGAGCGUUCUGUAAGCCUGUGAAGGUGGCCUGUGAGGGUUGCUGGAGGUAUCAGAAGUGCGAAUGCUGACAUAAGUAACGAUAAAGCGGGUGAAAAGCCCGCUCGCCGGAAGACCAAGGGUUCCUGUCCAACGUUAAUCGGGGCAGGGUGAGUCGACCCCUAAGGCGAGGCCGAAAGGCGUAGUCGAUGGGAAACAGGUUAAUAUUCCUGUACUUGGUGUUACUGCGAAGGGGGGACGGAGAAGGCUAUGUUGGCCGGGCGACGGUUGUCCCGGUUUAAGCGUGUAGGCUGGUUUUCCAGGCAAAUCCGGAAAACCAAGGCUGAGGCGUGAUGACGAGGCACUACGGUGCUGAAGCGACAAAUGCCCUGCUUCCAGGAAAAGCCUCUAAGCAUCAGGUAACAUCAAAUCGUACCCCAAACCGACACAGGUGGUCAGGUAGAGAAUACCAAGGCGCUUGAGAGAACUCGGGUGAAGGAACUAGGCAAAAUGGUGCCGUAACUUCGGGAGAAGGCACGCUGAUAUGUAGGUGAAGCGACUUGCUCGUGGAGCUGAAAUCAGUCGAAGAUACCAGCUGGCUGCAACUGUUUAUUAAAAACACAGCACUGUGCAAACACGAAAGUGGACGUAUACGGUGUGACGCCUGCCCGGUGCCGGAAGGUUAAUUGAUGGGGUUAGCGGUAACGCGAAGCUCUUGAUCGAAGCCCCGGUAAACGGCGGCCGUAACUAUAACGGUCCUAAGGUAGCGAAAUUCCUUGUCGGGUAAGUUCCGACCUGCACGAAUGGCGUAAUGAUGGCCAGGCUGUCUCCACCCGAGACUCAGUGAAAUUGAACUCGCUGUGAAGAUGCAGUGUACCCGCGGCAAGACGGAAAGACCCCGUGAACCUUUACUAUAGCUUGACACUGAACAUUGAGCCUUGAUGUGUAGGAUAGGUGGGAGGCUUUGAAGUGUGGACGCCAGUCUGCAUGGAGCCGACCUUGAAAUACCACCCUUUAAUGUUUGAUGUUCUAACGUUGGCCCGUAAUCCGGGUUGCGGACAGUGUCUGGUGGGUAGUUUGACUGGGGCGGUCUCCUCCUAAAGAGUAACGGAGGAGCACGAAGGUUGGCUAAUCCUGGUCGGACAUCAGGAGGUUAGUGCAAUGGCAUAAGCCAGCUUGACUGCGAGCGUGACGGCGCGAGCAGGUGCGAAAGCAGGUCAUAGUGAUCCGGUGGUUCUGAAUGGAAGGGCCAUCGCUCAACGGAUAAAAGGUACUCCGGGGAUAACAGGCUGAUACCGCCCAAGAGUUCAUAUCGACGGCGGUGUUUGGCACCUCGAUGUCGGCUCAUCACAUCCUGGGGCUGAAGUAGGUCCCAAGGGUAUGGCUGUUCGCCAUUUAAAGUGGUACGCGAGCUGGGUUUAGAACGUCGUGAGACAGUUCGGUCCCUAUCUGCCGUGGGCGCUGGAGAACUGAGGGGGGCUGCUCCUAGUACGAGAGGACCGGAGUGGACGCAUCACUGGUGUUCGGGUUGUCAUGCCAAUGGCACUGCCCGGUAGCUAAAUGCGGAAGAGAUAAGUGCUGAAAGCAUCUAAGCACGAAACUUGCCCCGAGAUGAGUUCUCCCUGAGACUUAGAGUCUCCUGAAGGAACGUUGAAGACGACGACGUUGAUAGGCCGGGUGUGUAAGCGCAGCGAUGCGUUGAGCUAACCGGUACUAAUGAACCGUGAGGCUUAACCUUACAACGCCGAAGCUGUU
rnacentral:rRNA from 1 species